rnacentral:rRNA from 1 species
AGGAUCAUUAAAAGUCAUUAUUUUAUGAAACCCCUUCUGUGUACUUUUUACCUGUUUUUGUCAUCUGGUAGAAUAUAGAGAGUAUUGGAAUUCUCCAGAACCAAAAUGAUUAAACUAUUAUUUACAAUGGUAUUUGUCUGAUUUGUUAUAAAAAAUAAAUGUUAAAACUUUCAACAACGGAUCUCUUGGUUCUCGCAUCGAUGAAGAACGCAGCGAAAUGCGAUAAGUAGUGUGAAUUGCAGAAUUCAGUGAAUCAUCGAAUCUUUGAACGCACAUUGCGCCUUCUAGUAUUCUGGGAGGCAUGCCUGUUUGAGCGUCAUUAAACCCCUCUCAAGUAAGUUUUACUUGGAUGUGAAGGAAGAGUACCUUUAAAUUUUAAGGAGUUCUCCUUUGAAAUUCAUUAGCAGAUGGUAAUGUUAUUAAAACCCCUGAUGUUAUAAAAAAUAACAGUGGUUUUGUAGACUAUUAUCCUAGCUUCAAAUUCAAUUUUUUUUAUUUAUAGUUGACCUCAAAUCAGGUAAGGAUACCCGCUGAACUUAAGCAUAUCAAUAAGCGGAGGAAAAGAAACCAACAGGGAUUGCCUUAGUAACUGCGAGUGAAGCGGCAAAAGCUCAAAUUUGAAAUCUGGCACUAUUUCAGUGUCCGAAUUGUAAUUUAGAGGGACAUUUUCAGGAUCAGCACUAUUCUAAGUUCUUUGGAACAGGACAUCAUAGAGGGUGAGAAUCCCGUGCCUGGGUAGUUGUCUGAUUC